GGGGGGGGUCAGAAAGAUACACAACCAGUCAAGCCUCGAAGUAUCUCCGGAUCGUGUUCAGAAUAAGGUUUCUCCCAUGCAUGGUAAUGCGAGGGUCAGGACAUACACCUCUUCGUCUGGAAAACAGCAAACAGGAAGUCUGUUCUACAUUGAAUCGAAACCCGUUUUCGUCUGCCCAUUUCGUGAGCCGAUUAACACUCAACUGUAUCUGGCGUUCACAUAUGGACAGGUUGCAAGAUUUAAAGCUGAUUUGGAUGUCGUCCACAUAGACGGAAUACGAUACCAUUGAAGGUAUAACAGAGCGGAGAGAGUUCAUUUUGAUUAUAAAAAGUGUGCAACUUAGCA